rnacentral:rRNA from 1 species
UACAGAGGUCCCAAGCGUUGUUCGGAUUCAUUGGGCAUAAAGGGUGCGUAGGCGGCGCGGUAAGUCGGGUGUGAAAUCUCGGAGCUUAACUCCGAAACUGCAUUCGAUACUGCCGUGCUUGAGGACUGGAGAGGAGACUGGAAUUUACGGUGUAGCGGUGAAAUGCGUAGAUAUCGUAAGGAAGACCAGUGGCGAAGGCGGGUCUCUGGACAGUUCCUGACGCUGAGGCACGAAGGUCAGGGGAGCAAACGGG